rnacentral:lncRNA from 1 species
CCGGCCUCGGGUCCCCAGCGCCCGGGAGCGCGCCGCGGUCUCCUCACGCCUGCGUGCGUCCUGGGCCCGCCAGACCAGCCGCCCCGGCCUGCAAGCGCUCUGCCCCGCGCCCGCCCGGGCUCCUGGCCGCUGCUGUGCACAGUCCCGGGUGCGAGGAGUCGCGUACGGGACACGGGGCAAGUCGCUCCAAAGCCCCCCGUGUGCCCGCCCGCAGCGCCGCGCGCUUCACGCCUAGGGCAGCGCCUGGCACGCUUUCCCGCCCUCGCCGUCAGGAGGUGGUCCCCUCGGGGUUCCGCUGCCCGUCCCAGGCCAAUCGUGCUGCGCUCGGAGCCGAACGGGGCGGGACAGAGGCAGGAACGCGCUGUCCCGAUUGGAGCAUUCGAACUGUCCUGGGCGGAGGCGGGGAAGCCGCGGACGGGGACCCGCCCCUCCCGGGAUCACCGUAGGGACCGAGAGGGCGCCGCUCCGGGUGGGCGCUGCGCUCGGGCCCUGCGCCGUCCCUCCCGAGGUGACCAGGCGGGGCGGGAGCCCGUUGUCCCGCUUGCUGCAGGGUUUGCCUUCAGCUGCCUCCAGAUGGGCCAAAGUUGCGAAAACGAGCUCUUUAUUACAAAGAUAAGUUUACCUUACGAUAGACUGGAUUUCACUUAUCAACCUGCCCCAUCACCAGGAGUCAUUUAAUGUUGGGGACCCCGGCUACGGAUUUUCACAUCCAAAACACCUUUUCUUACAUUGUUCUCUGUCUACAAAUGACUAAAGACACAUUAUUUGGGGAUCUAGACUUCCCGCUCUUGCGGUCACUUGAGCUUUCUUUUCUUUUUUAUUUAAAGAUUUUUAUUUAUUUAUUCAUGAGAGACACAGAGGGAGGCAGAGACACAGGCAGAGGGAGAAGCAGGCUCCAUGCGGGGAGCCCGACGUGGGACGCGAUCCCGGGUCUCCAGGAUCACGCCCUGGGCCAAAGGCAGGCGCUAAACAGCUGAGCCACACGGGCUGCCCCUUGAGCUUUCUUUUAAACCCAUUUCCCAAACAACUUCCACGUGUCUCCAUUUUGAGAUUCAUGGAGCUCAUCCUAGAUGGGUCCUUUAGUUAGAUGGUUCUGAAAAGUCUUGUUCCUUCCCUAAACUCAGAGGGCUGUCUUAUCUGAAACCAAAAAUAGGGGUAUGAGAUAUGAAAAAUGGCUCUUACUCUGCAGGGUUUAAUGUAGGACAAGCAGUUCUUUACAUGCCAGAUGGAUUCUUGGAAUGAAGCAGGCUACUCGGUUCCAGGUUCUUUCCUUCAUAUGUUGUGUGUACUUUUAAAUACUCCCCACUGCAAAGCUAAUAGCUAACCUUACAGUUAGGCAAGCUAAAAUCUUUACAAACUAAACUGCACAGCUGCUGGAGAGGGAGUUCCAAACAAUCCAUUCUGCUUACUUCCAAAGAAGCCCCCUCAUGUUCAUUAAUAUUCCCUGCUCUUCUAUAGCCCAUUCAUAUGUCAAGUUUCUGAUUCUUCUUUCAAGCCCCCAUUAUGGGUUACUCAUAGUCAUCAUUGGUUGGCCUUUCUGUUUAUUCUUAACUUGUUUUUCAAAGCUGUUACCAAAUCCUUCUACAUUUUUGCAUAAAGGAGUAAGAGUAAGCAUCCCAUCUUUCUCACAAUUCUCUAAUGCUGAAGAUGUAAAACCACGGAAUUCUAUCGGAAAGACACCUUAAGCUCUAAAUUCCUUCCAUUUAUAAAAUUCACUGAUCCUAUGACUCACUCUCAGGCCACCUUCCUGCCCUUCUUCUAGGCUCAUAAUCUUGACUAAUCAGUCAUGAGGAUGAAGCUAAUUAGCAAUGGGGAUUUAUGGUUAUUUCUAGUCUGCUCCUAAACAAUGAGUUAUGUAAGCAAAGCAACAUAUAUAAAAAUGUAAAUAAAAUUAAAGAAACACUUAAGCAAAUAAAGGCAAUUGGGAUCUAUGGGCUAUGUAAACAAACCGGAACAUAAAAACAUAAAUUAGAAUUAAGAAAACAGUUAAGCAAAUGCCAGCAAUUAGGAAUAAAACAACUUGUUAAAUGUCUAACACCCGCAGCUAUUUUAUGGCACACACCUCUAAACCCAUGGUCAUUCAGUGAUGUGGAAAUUUGAUAUCAUAAUUCUGCAUUAAGUGAUUAGGUUAGAUUGACCUUCUGCUUGGGAGGCUUCUCUUUUUGUUAUUAUCAAUAUGAGUUGCAGUUAAAGCCAGAGGGUCCUAGCAAGGAUUCCCUCAUAGGCUCAUUGGCAGUCACCAUUGAUUUAAAGUGUAAAUUCUUUUAGAUUAGUUUCCAAGACCGAAUAAACAGUGUCAAUUAAUUGCACAUGUUCCAAGAUCUCUUGUGCCUCUGCCAGUUUCUCAUGUACAUUGUUGCCUUGUCUGUUCAGCAAUCUGAGCCACGUGGUUUGGUGCCUUCUAUAAUAGAAUAGAACCUCCCUAAGUACCUGAAUCCAUCUUUGCUCUUUUUAAGGCAGUGAUUAUUAAAAAAAAAGAAAGAAAAAAAAGUCAAGGGAAAUGUAAGUUACUCUUGGUGAGUGUACAUUCAUGUAAAGUUAACAGUGAUGGGACACCUGGGUGGCUCAGCGGUUGGGCACCUGCCUUCGGCUCCGGUCAUGUGGUCCGGGGAACGGUAUGGAGUCUUGCAUCAGGCUCCCUGCAAGGAGCCCGCUCCUCCCUCUGCCUAUAUCUCUGCCUCUCUGUCUGUGUCUCUCAUGAAUAAAUAAAUCUUAAAAAGGGCAGCCCAGGUGGCGCAGCGGUUUAGCAAUGCCUUCAGCCCAGGGCGUGAUCCUGGAGACCUGGGAUAGAGUCCACAUGGGGCUCCCUGCAUGGAGUCUACUUCUCUGUGUCUCUGCCUCUUUCUCUCUGUGUGUCUUUCAUGAAUAAAUAAAUAAAUCUUUAAAAAAAAAACAAACCGUGACAAGUAGAGGUUUUCUCAUACCCAUCCUUUUCCAUAGGUUCAUAUUAAUAUCACCAUUGCCUCUCUCAUCAAUGUGGUGAUCAUCAGAGCAGAUGCCAUUAUCAAACACUCUCUUAGAGUGGGACACUGUGCUCUGUGUUCCCCUUAUUUCAUCUUAUUUCAGCCAGAGCAGCACUAUCUAGGUCAGGUUAUUAUUAAGCAAGGAAACAGAAUGAAAGAGGGUAACGAACUGACACAAGACCACAAAGCCAGUAAGUGCUGGACCUUGGAUUCAAAUUUUGAUCUGUGUGGCUGGCUGCGAAGCCCACCCUAUAAAACAUUGCUAUAUAUAUAUAUAUAUAUAUAUAUAUAUAUAUAUAUAUAUAUAUAUAUAUAUAUAUGUUUUAAUCAAGAUUACUAAGUAAAAACCACAAAGCCUUAACAGGUGAACUGCAAAUUAAUGAAAAUAAGUAAUCAAUACUUAAUAAAAGAGGAUAAACAACUCUUUUAGAGGAAUCUGGGUCUCAUGCCAAUGGAGGAGAGAAAUGAAGACCAAAGCCUAGCCAGGCCAUUCUUCAUGGCCACCUAGGACUUUGCCUUGCUGCCUGCCUUUCCUACCUAACCAUGCCUACCUUACCUUUGCUGAUCUUCAUCUUCUCUAAACUCUCAGAACAUAUUGCCUAAAAUGUGUAAUUUGCUACCCUACCAAAUAGUCUUGUGUUGUUUGCUCUCAGUUCUCCUGUUUUCUCAUCUAGAUCAUAAGCAUGUUAAGGACAAGGUAUUUCAAGGUGUGACUAUAACAUGAUUGAUUUGACUUAAAGAAACCAAAACAACAAAACUUGGACGUCUAAGAAAGAUGUCACUUUGGAGAAACUGACUAGAUACUUACUCCCAAACAUAUCAUUGCUCCAUUCACUAUAGAAAUGACUCUUUAGAAGUGGUCUUUACAAUUGCUAGCACAUGUGAAAUGUGACAAAUCUUCAUCUCCUGAGGAUGUCUUUGAGCAACCGAAGAAUCAGUGGGAUAACAGUGCACCCUUUUAUAAUGAGGUCCUUAAAUAUUUAUCAAAAUACAUAAUUUCUGGAAUGUUUGAUAGAAAGCCCCAAAUCUCUGUCCUUUCAUCCCUCAUAGCACCUGGUACAAUACAGUUGAAUGCACAGUAGGCACUCGAACCUGACACUGUCAGUUGCUUGCCCACUUCCUUCCAUGCUGAUAUAACUGUGAUUUUAUUCCAGUUGCAAUGUGUUCAGUCUCAGUUAAGGACUAAGUCAACUAUGAACAUCCUAUCCCCUGCUUGCUAAGCUUGUCAAGGCACAGGGACGACGGGAUGAUUUUUCUGAUAAACAUAAGGGCAGACACGGCUCUUCUCUCCUUCCUUCUGCCUCUUUCCUCCUUUGAAUGUGAUUCUGACUUGGGGCAUAGUGGCAGCCACCUUGUGAUAAUGAGGGAACAAUAUGAG